AGACAAGUCCUUGGUACAAGAUUAGCAUAAGCAGACAUGGCAGGGCAAGACUCAGGUAUAAGAUUAGCAUAGGCAAACACCUCUGAAGUCCCACCACCCAAAGUACAAUAGAACUUCCUUUGCACGUCUGGCCCCUUGGCAAGUUUGGUGAUGGGAUUAGGCUUUCCUUGGCCAACAAUCAGCUCAGCAAUUGUCACCUCUGGGAACUUCCUGGAGUUCCUUUCAAGGGGAAAAUAGCUUUGGAAUGGAGGAAACUAGCAAAGGAGUUGAUUUUAUAUUAUUUUUAAAGCUAGGUAACUUCCCUGAGUUGUCAAGUUGAAAGGAUACAUUCAGGCCUAAUAUUUGUAACAUUUAACUUUAAAGAUUUGCCCCCCCCCCAUAAUUUCCAUAGCAAAACCAUAUUUCUUAAAGCUAUGACAGUCUCUGCUGUGUCUCAAUUCUCCAAAGGAAUUGAGAGCUUGGGUGAGGACGUGGAACCCGCUGGAAGUUGGUGGCACCUAACUUUUGUAACAAUAUUAUCCUCUCAUAAAAGAUCAACAACACCGUCUUUUUAAACACAUACAAAAUCCCAGUACAAUGAUUAAUAUGUUCAUGUAACUCUGUUUUGAUAUUUCAAAUUCUAAUGUUGUUGUUGGCAUCUGUCUUUCUCAAGAGACAAUUGAGUGCCCAUCCAGGGAUGAAAACAAACUACAUAGUGACCACCCCGGGGUGCAAGCCUGGGCAGUGUAUAUGGAGGUUCUGGGCUGCCCACAUAACAAGACCCCCCUCUCAUUAUAUAGCAUAUUAUCAAGGUGAGAAUUAUAUUUUUGUAAGGAAACAGUUUAUUAUAAAUAAUAAUACAGCAAGUUUGAAGAAUCACACCUAUUUGGGGAGGCAUAAUCGUCUUAUUGAUGUGAACUGGAAUCUGAUAAAGAACUUUCUCUAAGUACAGUGGUACCUCUGGUUAAGAACUUAAUUCGUUCUGGAGGUCCGUUCUUAACCUGAAACUGUUCUUAACCUGAGGUACCACUUUAGCUAAUGGGGCCUCCUGCUGCUACCGCUGCACAAUUUCUGUUCUCAUCCUGAAGUAAAUUUCUUAACCCGGCUAACAUUCUCCUUUCCCUUCCUCCCCCCAACAAACACUCUGUGAGGUGAGUGAGGCUGAGAGACUUCAGAGAAGUGUGACUGGCCCAAGGUCACCCAGCAGCUGCAUGUGGAGGAGCGGGGAAGCGAACCCGAUUCACCAGAUUAAGAGACUACCACUCUUAACCACUACACUGCACUGGCUCUCAUGAGAGACUCAUGGUAGAAAUGGACUUUUUACCUGUGAUCCAUAGUUGGGUUUUCUUGGUACUUUUAUUGAUACUUAAGAUUUUCUAUGUGUCGGGUGGUGGGAGGGGAGCAGGUUGCCAACCUACUAUUUUGGUAUAACAUGGUUACGAUUUUUAUAUAUAACUUGAUUUAUUGUGCAGAUUAUUGUUCGACUCCAACAAUGAUCAACAGCCUAUCUACAUAGUGCAACAAGGGAUGCCAAAGAGCUAGGUGCUGGUGUGGUGCAGUGAUUAGACUAGGGUUUGGGAGACCAGCUAAGCUCACUGGGUGACCUUGGACCAGUCACUGUCUCUCAGCCUAGCCUACCUCACAGGGUUGUGGUGAGGAUAAAAGGGGAAAGAUGAGAAGAUCCAUGUACACCACCUUGAUUUCUGUGGAGGAGAGAUUAGAUAUAAAUACAAUAAACAGAAUAAAUAUUAUUAUUAUUAGUCAAUAUGCAUCCCAUCCUCCCUUCAAGUAAGGGUGGAAGCAGCCCUUUGGGUCACCAAGUGAGCUUUGUGACUGAAAGUGAAACUAUGCAUUACAUUAAACAUGUGCUUCUGAACACGUGCUUACAAUUACAGUGGUACCUCAGGUUAUAGACGCUUCAGGUUACAUACGCUUCAGGGUACAGACUCUGCUAACCCAGAAAUAGUACCUCGGGUUAAGAACUUUGCUUCAGGAUGAGAACAGAAAUUGUGCUCCUGCGGCGUGGCAGCCGCAGGAGGCCCCAUUAGCUAAAGUGGUGCUUCAGGUUAAGAACAGUUUCAGGUUAAGAAUGGACCUCCAGAACAAAAUAAGUACUUAACCCGGGUACCACUGUACUGAGUACCCUUCAUUUCCCUCAAAAAAAUGGCACGGGGAGGAAGGGGUUAAGCUAGUUUUUUAGUAAGAAUAGACAGAUGCAAUGUAACAUGUAGUUUGACCCUGAGUGGAGAAGUGAAUCCAGCCCUCUCUGAUCCAAGUCCAAAACUCUUAUCUGGUGACUUGCAUCUGUCUCUCUCUCUCAUUAUAAACUUGCAGGAAGAAUUGGGGGGGAAAUAUUGUUUGCCCAGGCAUUGAAUGGUGGAAAGAUACUGUUCCUGGUAACCUUGAAAUUAUUAGCUGUGAGGAUCUGUGUUUGAAAAAUAUUUUAAGUUGUUUGAAAGAUGUUUGAACUUUUGUUUUAAAUGUGAUUUUAGAUGUUUAAAAUUGUUUUUAAAAAUGCUUUUAUUCUAUUCUUGUUUUAUCACUUUGAUGUUGGCCACACUGGGCUCCUUUGGGAGGAAGGGUGGGGGUAUUAAUUAACUAAUUAAUUCUACCAUGCUCCACCAGCCUCCCAGUGUAAGGUAUCGAGCUCUGCCAAUGCAAACAUGAAGGAAAUGGACAGAGAUCAAUAAUCAAUCCUCCCUCCAUAAUAACGAGUUGAUUUUUAACUAGAAAGCUGCUUAUUAUUAACUUUUCUCCAAUGGAUCUUCUCUACUUCUGCCUCCCCCUCCCCAGUUCUUCAGGGGCACCAUUUCGGUACAUGUGAUAUCUUCUCUCUCUGUGUGUGGAAGGUUCCUCCACUCUGAUGGGCAAGCAGUUUCUUUGCAUAAUCGAUUUAACGUAAAGACAGAGUGUCUGCGAUCAUGAGCGGUGCUUUUCUCCACUGGGUACAACCUAAAGCAAGUCAAAACAAAACGAAAACAGCACAUGCAACUCCCCUCCCCAACUUUUCAGUUUCCUGUUCUGGCAACUGACCGGGAAGACAAACAACUUUACAAGCAAGUCCCUUGUGUGAGAUAGCCAAAGCAUGUGCAUUAGCAAAGCCUCUUGUCCUCUUAACAAUUAGCUGCUUGAUUUAGAGUUUAUGCAUCUUGAAAGACUGCGUAUGCACAUCCACCGACAGAAGCUGGUUGGAUACAGUUAAUCCCUUUGUUGACUUUGCACUGUUUACUGGAACAAGCAUGGCGGGAAGAGUCAGUGUGUCAUGAAGGCAUGACUGGUGGUAAAGCUGGUCUAGAUAAGCUGGUCAACUCCUGACCACACAAGCAAUCCCACAGAGCUGAAGAUUUCU